AUGUAUCUUAAGGUGAAAAUUCCCCAGCAGCAAGACAAGGCGUCAUGAAGAGGCUAGUAGGCACCGUGCUGGGACUUUUGUUUGCCCAGGUUUGCCGUGUGCAAGGGGUGAAUGUGGAGCAGAGUCCCCCAGCCCUGAGUCUCCAGGAGGGAGCCAGCUCCAUGCUGUGGUGUAAUUUUUCCACCUCCUCACAGAAUGUGCAUUGGUAUCGUCAGAACCCUGAGGGCCGCCUCAUCCACCUGUUUUCCAUUCCUUCAGGGACAAGGCAGAAUGGAAGAUUAAAUGCCACGACAGCCCCUAAAGAACGCCGCAGCUCAUUGUACAUUUCCUCUUCCCAGACCACAGACUCAGCCACUUACUUCUGUGCUGUGCAGCACGGUGCUUCCCAGGCACCUGCAGCCUGUGUACGAACCCUCAGCGGGGCUCAGCCCCUCCUCCAGCCACAAUCACACCAUGAGGCCACCACAUGGCAUUUGCAUCACUUAUUAUUCCUUAUGGGUAGAGUUUUAACCACAUACACUUUUUGA